rnacentral:rRNA from 1 species
GAACGCUAGCUACAGGCUUAACACAUGCAAGUCGAGGGGCAGCAUUUCAGUUUGCUUGCAAACUGGAGAUGGCGACCGGCGCACGGGUGAGUAACACGUAUCCAACCUGCCGAUAACUCGGGGAUAGCCUUUCGAAAGAAAGAUUAAUACCCGAUGGUAUAAUCAGACCGCAUGGUCUUGUUAUUAAAGAAUUUCGGUUAUCGAUGGGGAUGCGUUCCAUUAGGCAGUUGGUGAGGUAACGGCUCACCAAACCUUCGAUGGAUAGGGGUUCUGAGAGGAAGGUCCCCCACAUUGGAACUGAGACACGGUCCAAACUCCUACGGGAGGCAGCAGUGAGGAAUAUUGGUCAAUGGGCGCAGGCCUGAACCAGCCAAGUAGCGUGAAGGAUGUCUGCCCUAUGGGUUGUAAACUUCUUUUAUAUGGGAAUAAAGCUUUCCACGUGUGGAAUUUUGUAUGUACCAUAUGAAUAAGGAUCGGCUAACUCCGUGCCAGCAGCCGCGGUAAUACGGAGGAUCCGAGCGUUAUCCGGAUUUAUUGGGUUUAAAGGGAGCGUAGGUGGACAGUUAAGUCAGUUGUGAAAGUUUGCGGCUCAACCGUAAAAUUGCAGUUGACACUGGCUGUCUUGAGUACAGUAGAGGUGGGCGGAAUUCGUGGUGUAGCGGUGAAAUGCUUAGAUAUCACGAAGAACUCCGAUUGCGAAGGCAGCUCACUGGACUGCAACUGACACUGAUGCUCGAAAGUGUGGGUAUCAAACAGGAUUAGAUACCCUGGUAGUCCACACAGUAAACGAUGAAUACUCGCUGUUUGCGAUAUACAGUAAGCGGCCAAGCGAAAGCAUUAAGUAUUCCACCUGGGGAGUACGCCGGCAACGGUGAAACUCAAAGGAAUUGACGGGGGCCCGCACAAGCGGAGGAACAUGUGGUUUAAUUCGAUGAUACGCGAGGAACCUUACCCGGGCUUAAAUUGCAUUUGAAUAAUCUGGAAACAGGUUAGCCGCAAGGCAAAUGUGAAGGUGCUGCAUGGUUGUCGUCAGCUCGUGCCGUGAGGUGUCGGCUUAAGUGCCAUAACGAGCGCAACCCUUAUCUUUAGUUACUAACAGGUCAUGCUGAGGACUCUAGAGAGACUGCCGUCGUAAGAUGUGAGGAAGGUGGGGAUGACGUCAAACCAGCACGGCCCUUACGUCCGGGGCUACACACGUGUUACAAUGGGGGGUACAGAAGGCAGCUACCUGGUGACAGGAUGCUAAUCCCAAAAGCCUCUCUCAGUUCGGAUCGAAGUCUGCAACCCGACUUCGUGAAGCUGGAUUCGCUAGUAAUCGCGCAUCAGCCAUGGCGCGGUGAAUACGUUCCCGGGCCUUGUACACACCGCCCGUCAAGCCAUGAAAGCCGGGGGUACCUGAAGUACGUAACCGCAAGGAGCGUCCUAGGGUAAAACUGAAA